UACGGAGGGGGCUAGCGUUGUUCGGAAUUACUGGGCGUAAAGCGCACGUAGGCGGCUUUGUAAGUUAGAGGUGAAAGCCCAGGGCUCAACCCUGGAAUUGCCUUUAAGACUGCAUCGCUUGAAUCCAGGAGAGGUGAGUGGAAUUCCGAGUGUAGAGGUGAAAUUCGUAGAUAUUCGGAAGAACACCAGUGGCGAAGGCGGCUCACUGGACUGGUAUUGACGCUGAGGUGCGAAAGCGUGGGGAGCAAACAGG
rnacentral:rRNA from 1 species